GGUUCCUGUAUGAUCACCAAAGUUAAGCAACAUUGAGCCUGGUCUGUAUCUAGAUGGGUGACUGCUCGGGAAUACCAGGUGCUGUAA